rnacentral:tRNA from 1 species
GCCCAGAUGUUGAAAUUGGUAGACAAGCCGGCUUGAGGGGCCGGUGCUCGCAAGGGCGUGCAAGUUCGAGUCUUGUUCUGGGCA